AUCAAAACAAAAGGGAAAUAAUCUUUCCUUACAACUUCAAGUACCACUUUAUUCUGCUAUCCAUUGACGUUGUCAGGGCAUUAGUAACCGUCGUAGACUCGAGACGUAAAGCCAAAGAAGAUUAUGCGGACAUGACUGCAAUGCUCAAGAAGGUUUGGAAGAAGUUCGCCAAUAAGGUUCGCAGUCUAAACAAAGAGCUGCGAUUUACGCACCCCCAAAGUAAGUAGUACUAGCUAGUUCCGCG